CCGAGCCGCUUCAGGCGAAGUCAUUGAUCCUAUGCUGCCUAGAAAAGCCCAGCAGCGAGUUGACAUGGUGCCCGUACCCCAAACCAACACAGGUGGACAGGUAGAGCAUACCAAGGCGAGUGGGAUAACUAUGGUUAAGGAACUCGGCAAAUUGCCUCCGUAACUUCGGGAGAAGGAGGACCCCAGUAGCGUGAUGAGACUUGCUCUCUGAGCGUGAAGGGGUGGCACAAAAUUGAGGGAAGCGACUGUUUACCAAAAACACAGCAGCGUGCUAAGCCGUAAGGCGCUGUAUACGCUGUGACUCCUGCCCGGUGCUGGAAGGUUACGGGGAUGGGUUAGUCCUUCGGGACGAAGCUCUGAACCUAAGCCCCAGUAAACGGCGGCCGUAACUAUAACGGUCCUAAGGUAGCGAAAUUCCUUGUCGGGUAAGUUCCGACCUGCACGAAUGGAGUAACGACUUCCCUACUGUCUCAACCAUAGACCCAGCGAAAUUGAAGUACGAGUAAAGAUGCUCGUUAGCUGCAGAAGGACGGAAAGACCCCGUGGACCUUUACUAUAACUUGAUGUUGUGUUUUGUCAUAUGUUGUGUAGGAUAGGUGGGAGACUUGGAAGCAUGGACGCUAGUCUGUGUGGAGUCAUCGUUGAAAUACCACCCUGCAUAUGGUGAGGCUCUAACCUAGACCCGUUAUCCGGGUUGGGGACAGCGUCAGGCGGGUAGUUUAACUGGGGCGGUUGCCUCCUAAAGAGUAACGGAGGCGCCCAAAGGUUCCCUCAGCCUGGUUGGCAAUCAGGCGUUGAGUGCAAUGGCAAAAGGGAGCUUGACUGCGAGACCUACAAGUCGAGCAGGAGCGAAAGCUGGGAUAGUGAUCCGGCGGUUGCGUGUGGAAGCGCCGUCGCUCAACGGAUAAAAGGUACCCCGGGGAUAACAGGCUAAUCUUGCCCAAGCGUCCAUAGCGACGGCAAGGUUUGGCACCUCGAUGUCGGCUCAUCGCAUCCUGGGGCUGAAGCAGGUCCCAAGGGUUGGGCUGUUCGCCCAUUAAAGCGGUACGCGAGCUGGGUUCAGAACGUCGUGAGACAGUUCGGUCCCUAUCCUCUGCAGCCGGAGGUGAAUUGAGGAAAGCUGUCCCUAGUACGAGAGGACCGGGACGGACGCAGCUCUCGUGUGCCAGUUGUCCUGCCAAGGGCAUGGCUGGUUAGCGACCUGCGGAAAGGAUAACCGCUGAAAGCAUCUAAGCGGGAAGCCUCUUCCAAGAUGAAUUCACCCACAGGGUUAACCUGGUAAGGCCCGUGGUAGACCACCACGUUGAUAGGCCGGAAGUGUAAGCGUGGCAACACGUUCAGCUGACCGGUACUAAUCGGCCGAGGGCUUGAGUC
rnacentral:rRNA from 1 species